CCCUUGGUUGAUCCGCCGGACCCGACUGCUAUCAGAGUGAGACUAAGCCAUGCGAGUCAACGCAGCAAUGCGUGGCAUACGGCUCAGUAACACGUAGUCAACAUGCCCAGGGGACGUGGAUAACCUCGGGAAACUGAGGAUAAACCGCGAUAGGCCAAGAUUUCUGGAAUGGAUAAUGGCUGAAAUCUAUAUGGCCCCUGGAUUGGACUGCGGCCGAUCAGGCUGUUGGUGAGGUAAUGGCCCACCAAACCUGUAACCGGUACGGGCUCUGAGAGGAGGAGCCCGGAGAUGGGCACUGAGACAAGGGCCCAGGCCCUAUGGGGCGCAGCAGGCGCGAAACCUCUGCAAUAGGCGAAAGCUUGACAGGGUUACUCUGAGUGAUGUCCGUUAAGGGCAUCUUUUGGCACUUCUAAAAAUAGUGUAGAAUAAGGGGUGGGCAAGUCUGGUGUCAGCCGCCGCGGUAAUACCAGCACCCCGAGUGGUCGGGACGUUUAUUGGGCCUAAAGCAUCCGUAGCCGGUUCUACAAGUCUUCCGUUAAAUCCACCUGCUUAACAGAUGGGCUGCGGAAGAUACUAUAGAGCUAGGAGGCGGGAGAGGCAAGCGGUACUCGAUGGGUAGGGGUAAAAUCCGUUGAUCCAUUGAAGACCACCAGUGGCGAAGGCGGCUUGCCAGAACGCGCUCGACGGUGAGGGAUGAAAGCUGGGGGAGCAAACCGGAUUAGAUACCCGGGUAGUCCCAGCUGUAAACGAUGCAGACUCGGUGAUGAGUUGGCUUAUUGCUAACUCAGUGCCGCAGGGAAGCCGUUAAGUUUGCCGCCUGGGGAGUACGGUCGCAAGACUGAAACUUAAAGGAAUUGGGGGGGAAGCA
rnacentral:rRNA from 1 species